UAAAGAUAACGGAACCAGCUCCAAGUUACACGAACGCUAUCAAAAACGACAAGAAACCAAAAACCGAAUUCGUAUCUUAUCUCUUAUCUCGGUCUCAUAGGCUAAAUAAAGUUUCGUAACUCGCGUAGGUUACAGUAGUUCAACAGCCAUGGUGAGAAAGAGAGGGAGACAGACGAAAUCAGGGGGUGGGAAACCCUCUCAAACGGAUUUUAUUCUCCCCGUUCCACAAAGGAUAGUUGCUGUCUGCAUCGUUAUUGCAAUCAUCCUCUUCCUUAUCUUCAGAAAAUAUCCCGAAGGAUUCUAAGGGUUUUCUGAAGAUAAUAAGGCCUUAUCAGUUAGGCCUAUGUUGAAGAAUCACUUCGGAGAUAUGGAUUACUAACAUCGAGGCAUUUUUUUUGUAUGGAUUCUGAACGUUAUUAAAGAUGGAUAUU
rnacentral:lncRNA from 1 species